CGACACGAUAAAAGACUGAACACGUUCUGAAUAGUAAAAAAGAAGAGUUGGAAAACUUAAAAACGGUGAAAUAAUGACAUGAAAGCCAAAGUAAAGGAUUUGACAAGGUUUCAUACGGAUUUGGAACCGAAGUUCAAUUGGGGCGAAUUGAGGCGAGAUUUUGGCUCGCCAGGCAAAUGAUGUAAUUUUGACGUGAAAUUUAAUAUGGGGUCCAUUUGGGAUGCAGCUAAAGUCAUUCUAAAGUUGGAACAAAUUCCAUGUAAGUUUGACCGGGGCUCACUAAAGCAGCCCCCAAAACGUGUUUUUAUAGAAAAUCAGGUUCGGACUUGAAGAUCGCGUUUGCAGGAGCUGAAAAAAGGUUAUUUGGGAUGUCUUAAGGUUGUUGCUUUUGAGCAAAAUGGAAC
rnacentral:misc_RNA from 1 species